rnacentral:sRNA from 1 species
AGAGGAUCCUGGAGGCCAAUGAGUAUGGAGAGAAGUAUGCAAGCACAGGACACAGACCCACUCCUGUUGUAUAUAAUUAUGUGAGCAGAUGGGAGAGGCUAAUGACUUUUAAUCCCAAGUGCAUUAAAGAAGAUUAAAGACGCCUACAGACCUAAGGAUCUGUGUUGAAGAUUUUAUAUGCAAUACCAUUCUCGUUUGUUCAUGUUUGCUGUCGUGAUUUCUUGAGUCUGUAAGGCAGACUGUGUGCAUGUUUGCAAGUCUAGGUGGCACACCACCAUCUGAAUUUCUGAACCAUGUUGCGGAUCUCUAGUGCCAAAUCCUACAAGGUUUUGGUUUUCUAUUUAUAGGAGCCUAGAAACCACUCUAGCCUUUGGAGUCACAGCUUCGCGGCAGUUUCAGCGUCUGCUACUUAUUAAGUGUUGAUGGACCAUCUGGGGCUUUCAGAGUCUUAUGUGACAUCUUCUUCAACUUACCUUGGAAUCUUAGACUUCACUGAGAUCUAUGCAUAAGUCAUUAUGGAAUGGAAAGGAAAAUGGCCACGUUUGAUUACUUUUGGUUUAGAAUCAGGAAAGCUGAAGUUAUACAGGAAGGCCAACUGAGAUCAAAAAGAAACUGUCUCUACCUGGUGCGCCCACAUAGCAAUUCUGUCCAGCCCAAGAGUCUGGGACAUGCCAGAACAUUUUCUUCUUUAUAGUCUGUGGGAGGCACUGACAAGAACAGUUGAUACAGAUUGCAAGCACAGCGACAUAGUAGUGUCGUAAUGCAUCAUCACAUGCUAUCUUUGGUAUAUUCUAGAAUUUUAUCACGAGGCAUUGAUCCCACACCUGAGAUUUGCCUCCAUUUGAGACUCAGAAUUUUGCAGCUGUUUUCUCAAUGCAGGAAGAGGUCAUUAUUAGAAUGAAGUGAAGAAAGGAAGGCAUGAAGGGGAAAUGGGACUGUUUACGGAGCACAUCUACACAAAGGAGACAGGGGGAAGUGCUGUGCUCUUCAGUGUCUUUGUAGCAUAAAUCACUGAGGCAGAGGAAUUUUUGACAGCUUUCCCUAAGUGCUCGCUUCAAGGGUGAGACCAAAUUUAGUGACAUCAUUUUGCAAGGAGUAGGAGGCGCUUCUUACUGGAGAAGGCACGUCACCAGGGUAUUCUUUGAAGUUUCAAAAGCCCAUACCAGGCCCAGUCUAUCUCUGCCUCCUGUCUGCUGAUCAGGAUGAGGCUCUCCUGCCUCCAUGCCGCUGUGCUUCCCAGCGUGAUGAGCAAAGAAAAACCUUCUGAGAUUGUAAGCAAGCCACCAAUUAAAUGUUUUCUUUUAUGAGUACCUUGGCCAUGGUGUCUUUUCACAGCAACAGAACAGUAACCAACACACAAUCCAAAGGGAUCCUUCAGAUGUUAACAUAAAUAAUAUAGGACAGAGACAAAAGGCCAUCCGGAAAUGUUUACCUCCAAGACUUUCUCUACCAGGCUCAACUGAAAUCGUUCAUUCAGAGUGGGUCAAGGUUUUAUUCAAAUACUUAUUGUCCAUUGUAUUGAGUUUUUAACCCAAACACUUAUAUAUAUGUAUGUGUGUGUGUGUGUGUGUGUGUGUGUGUGUGUGUGUGUGUGUGUGUGUGUAUACCUCUUACAUGAUUUAAGAGGCCAACAUAAAUUUCCUGGUGGAAAAUAAAUUGCUCAUUUCUAAGAUUUGUUAAUGUAAUUUGUGACUGUAUUCCUUCCAUAGGUUCACAUGAUUUUCUGGCCUCUUGGAAGCAUGAUUCUCCCCCCAAAAUGAGUUACUUGGUUAUAUGAAUGCUGUAUAAAAAUAAAUGCAAAAAAGUGGGCUUAAGAAGUUGGAUAGCAUACAGGCCCAUCUUUACCUUGCGGGUAAUAAGCUGAGAAUGAAAGUGAUCCCAGGAUCCUUUGAGAAUAAAAACCAUCAUUGAGAAACUUCUAUUUGUCACUGUAGUAGGUUGUCCAAACCUUAUCAGUUGUUCAUCUACCCAGAGUUCAAUGCUGAGGCUUUUCCAUGUGUGAUGGUUUGCAUAUGCUUGGCCAAGGGAGUGGCACUAUUAGAAGGUGUGGCCUUUUGGAUGA